rnacentral:rRNA from 1 species
GAGUUUGAUCCUGGCUCAGAUUGAACGCUGGCGGCCAGGCCUAACACAUGCAAGUCGAGCGGAUGACGGGAGCUUGCUCCUGGUGGCGAGUGGCGAACGGGUGAGUAAUGCAUCGGAACGUAUCCUGGAGUGGGGGAUAACGUAGCGAAAGUUACGCUAAUACCGCAUAUUCUGUGAGCAGGAAAGCGGGGGACCUUCGGGCCUCGCGCUCUUGGAGCGGCCGAUGUCGGAUUAGCUAGUUGGUGAGGUAAAGGCUCACUAAGGCGACGAUCCGUAGCAGGUCUGAGAGGAUGAUCUGCCACACUGGAACUGAGACACGGUCCAGACUCCUACGGGAGGCAGCAGUGGGGAAUUUUGGACAAUGGGGGCAACCCUGAUCCAGCCAUGCCGCGUGAGUGAAGAA